rnacentral:rRNA from 1 species
UGGGGAAUAUUGGACAAUGGGCGAAAGCCUGAUCCAGCCAUGCCGCGUGUGUGAAGAAGGUCUUCGGAUUGUAAAGCACUUUAAGUUGGGAGGAAGGGCAUUAACCUAAUACGUUAGUGUUUUGACGUUACCGACAGAAUAAGCACCGGCUAACUCUGUGCCAGCAGCCGCGGUAAUACAGAGGGUGCAAGCGUUAAUCGGAAUUACUGGGCGAAAAGCGCGCGUAGGUGGUUUGUUAAGUUGGAUGUGAAAUCCCCGGGCUCAACCUGGGAACUGCAUUCAAAACUGACUGACUAGAGUAUGGUAGAGGGUGGUGGAAUUUCCUGUGUAGCGGUGAAAUGCGUAGAUAUAGGAAGGAACACCAGUGGCGAAGGCGACCACCUGGACUAAUACUGACACUGAGGUGCGAAAGCGUGGGGAGCAAACA